rnacentral:rRNA from 1 species
AUUGAACGCUGGCGGCAGGCCUAACACAUGCAAGUCGAGCGGAUGAACGGUGCUUGCUCGUGGAUUCAGCGGGGGAGUGGUGAGUGAGGCAUAGGAAUCUGCCUAGUUGUUUGUUAUAACGUCCUGAAACGGGCGCUAAUACGCCAUACGUGCAGAGGGAGAAAGGGGGGGAUCUUCGGACCUUACGCUAUCAUGUGAGCCUAGGUGGGAUUGGCUGGUUGGUUGGUUAAAGGCCUACCGAGGCGACGAUCCGUCACUGGUCUGAGGGGAUGAUAGGUCACACGGGAGCGGAGACACGGUCCAGACUCCUAAGGGAGGCAGCAGUGGGGAACAUUGGGCAAUGGGCGGAAGCCUGAUCCAGCGAGGCGGAGUGUGUGAAGAAGGCCUUCGGAUCGUGAAGCCCGUUUUGUGGGGGGGAAGCGCAGUAGGUUAAGACCAUGCUGUUGUGACGGUAACAAAUGAAUAAGCACCGGCUAACUUCGUG